GACGAACCGUGCGAACGUUGUUCGGAAUCACUGGGCUUAAAGGGCGCGUAGGCGGGCCGCCGCGUCCGGGGUGAAACCCCCCCGCUCAACGGGGGAACGGCCUCGGAUACGGGCGGCCUGGAGGCGGGUAGGGGCACGCGGAACUGUGGGUGGAGCGGUGAAAUGCGUUGAGAUCCACAGGAACUCCGGUGGCGAAGGCGGCGUGCUGGACCCGAUCUGACGCUGAGGCGCGAAAGCCAGGGGAGCGAACGGG
rnacentral:rRNA from 1 species